AGUGAAAUAAGUCAGACAGAGAAAGACAAGUAUCUAAGAGGCAUUGUUGCCUGGAUGAAUAGAGGGUGUGUUUCAGCCCUGGGAUGUUUGAGUUGAAGAGCUUGAAUUUCAUUGAACAUUUCUCUGACGAUUUUCCAGUUAUCCCCGAAAUUU